ACCGUGUACAACAUAACCGAUCUUUAGUUUUAUUAAAUAAAUUGAAUAAUUAAAAUAACUAUUACGCCACUGACCAACUAAAUGAACAAAGUUAUAUAUGUAACUGUUUAUGUUACAUUGUAACAUAAACAUCAAUAUUUCCCCAAUAGUGCGGGGGACGCUGAAGAAGAAGUAAUAUAAACUUAACCUCAAAGGUAGUACAUGUGUCAAUAAUGAAAAGGACUAAAUAAGACAAGAUUAAACCAAACAACUCGGUAAAAGAUGUGAGUUAGAGAAGUAAAAUAAACUGCGCUGCAUAGUAAAUUGGCUUCCAAACAAAUAAGUAUGUUCACAUCAGCUAAAGAUUCAAGUAAUCCUACUCUAAGCUUACAGUUAACAUUAUUAUACAAACUGAACAGAGAAUAAGCCAAAUUAAGGAAUUAUCUACUGUCAACCUCCAAUUGAAGCCAAAUUUAUGAAUGAGAUUUUUAUUUAUAAUAUUUUUAUGGAAACAUAUUUUUAAGAUAUUUAAGUAAAACUGAUUCCAGUUUAUGUUAUGAUUUAGUUUAUGAAUGAUGACACAUCAUUUUCUAGGAACAGUGACUGGAGAUCCAUUGACAAAACAAAUGAUAUUAGACAUUUCAUGCAGCUUUUUUAUUUGUUGACCUGUAACCAGGCUAUUGAAGGAAAAAUCAUUUGUACACCACUACCUGGUUCCUUGCAAACCCUUAGGCGCCGGCUGUCACUUAUAAAACUAAACCUGGACUCGCCUGAAAAAAUGCCGUUCCUCUACUGCGGUAAAAGUCAAUUUAUGAGCUUUUGAGACCAUUCUAGACAGUUUGAAACUAAAGAAAACCAAGGAUCACGUGUUAGUGCAUAAAACUAGUGACUAAGAGUCGUGUUUUCAUCGACCCACCCCAUCUGAAAAUCUCCAGGCGCCCUCAAUUAGGAAUACGGAGGGAUUGGGAAAGAUGUAUCUAUCAAGCUGUGAAUUAUUGAAGGAACCCGAGGGCUUCUUUAUUAGUGACACUUAUAUUCCACAGAACUAUCUUCACAACGUGCCAGUUUUCGAUAGGAUUUAGAUCAGUCGUGGACGAUAGAGCAAAGGGGAAGAGAAAGAACCACAUCUAAAGAAAGAUGAUUUAACUAA